AUUGAACGCUGGCGGCAUGCUUUACACAUGCAAGUCGAACGGCAGCGCGGACUUCGGUCUGGCGGCGAGUGGCGAACGGGUGAGUAAUAUAUCGGAACGUACCCAGGGGUGGGGGAUAACGUAGCGAAAGUUACGCUAAUACCGCAUACGCUCUAUGGAGGAAAGCAGGGGAUCGCAAGACCUUGCGCGCUUGGAGCGGCCGAUAUCUGAUUAGCUAGUUGGUGGGGUAAAGGCUCACCAAGGCAACGAUCAGUAGCUGGUCUGAGAGGAGGACCGGCCACACUGGGACUGAGACACGGCCCAGACUCCUACGGGAGGCAGCAGUGGGGAAUUUUGGACAAUGGGGGCAACCCUGAUCCAGCAAUGCCGCGUGAGUGAAGAAGGCCUUCGGGUUGUAAAGCUCUUUUGUCAGGGAAGAAACGGGCGUGGCUAAUAUCCAUGCCUAAUGACGGUACCUGAAGAAUAAGCACCGGCUAACUACGUGCCAGCCGCCGCUGUAAAAC
rnacentral:rRNA from 1 species